UGGCGCCGACGACAUCUGCCGAUUGUAUUCAUCCAAAUCAACAAAAUUGUCGUCUGCUACGACUGGUCGUUCAGUGUUUGAGACUCACGUGAAAUAAUUUGGUUUCGAAUAGGUUUUUUGCGUGACAGCUGGUGCAACUGAUUUGUUUAAUAAUAUGAAAUUUGCUGUCUAUUUGGUGGCCGAAUCCAGUGCCAGACUAGGCUCGUUUACGGAAUUUGCUCGAAUCCCAGAGGCUGUAUUCGAAAUCCCAUUACUUUUGCUACACACUCGUGGUGCUUCUGCUCCACAUUUGAGCUAUGAUCUCUUACAAAUGCAUGGUUUCAACUGGGCACCACAUGCUUCAGAUGCCUCUGGUUACGCUUGUUGAUCACACAAAAAAUGUGAAAGCAUUCGGAAAAGAAAUAGCUGAGUUUGCAGGUUUGAAGGAAUAUUUUUAAAUUAUGUGUCUGUGCAAGAUUCUGGCACUGCAGCAACACCUGAGGGCUACCAUGAAAAGAACUUCAUUUCUCUGUGGACAAGAGGUGGAAGGAAACUUAUUGACCCCCAGACUUACAUAUCUUGCAUUGAAGCAUUGAAACCAGACAUGUUUCAAGCGAUAGUUGAUCAAUGGAGAUACAACUCAAAGCAGUUCAGCUAAAAGGGUUC